GGAUAGCUCAGCCGGGACACCAUGAGACUCUUAAUCUCAGGGUCGCGGGUUCAAGCCCCACCUGGGGCA